rnacentral:rRNA from 1 species
UACGGGGGGGGCAAGCGUUGUUCGGAAUUACUGGGCGUAAAGGGCUCGUAGGUGGCCAACUAAGUCAGACGUGAAAUCCCUCAGCUUAACUGGGGAACUGCGUCUGAUACUGGAUGGCUUGAGUUUGGGAGAGGGACGCGGAAUUCCAGGUGUAGCGGUGAAAUUCGUAGAUAUUCGGAGGAACACCAGUGGCGAAGGCGGCUCACUGGUCCGGUACUGACGCUGAGGUGCGAAAGCGUGGGGAGCAAACAGG